UGAACGCUGGCGGCGUGCUUAACACAUGCAAGUCGAACGGUGAACACGGAGCUUGCUCUGUGGGAUCAGUGGCGAACGGGUGAGUAACACGUGAGCAACCUGCCCCUGACUCUGGGAUAAGCGCUGGAAACGGCGUCUAAUACUGGAUACGAGUAGCGAUCGCAUGGUCAGCUACUGGAAAGAUUUAUUGGUUGGGGAUGGGCUCGCGGCCUAUCAGCUUGUUGGUGAGGUAAUGGCUCACCAAGGCGUCGACGGGUAGCCGGCCUGAGAGGGUGACCGGCCACACUGGGACUGAGACACGGCCCAGACUCCUACGGGAGGCAGCAGUGGGGAAUAUUGCACAAUGGGCGCAAGCCUGAUGCAGCAACGCCGCGUGAGGGAUGACGGCCUUCGGGUUGUAAACCUCUUUUAGCAGGGAAGAAGCGAAAGUGACGGUACCUGCAGAAAAAGCGCCGGCUAACUACGUGCCAGCAGCCGCGGUAAUACGUAGGGCGCAAGCGUUAUCCGGAAUUAUUGGGCGUAAAGAGCUCGUAGGCGGUUUGUCGCGUCUGCUGUGAAAUCCGGAGGCUCAACCUCCGGCCUGCAGUGGGUACGGGCAGACUAGAGUGCGGUAGGGGAGAUUGGAAUUCCUGGUGUAGCGGUGGAAUGCGCAGAUAUCAGGAGGAACACCGAUGGCGAAGGCAGAUCUCUGGGCCGUAACUGACGCUGAGGAGCGAAAGGGUGGGGAGCAAACAGGCUUAGAUACCCUGGUAGUCCACCCCGUAAACGUUGGGAACUAGUUGUGGGGUCCAUUCCACGGAUUCCGUGACGCAGCUAACGCAUUAAGUUCCCCGCCUGGGGAGUACGGCC
rnacentral:rRNA from 1 species